rnacentral:rRNA from 1 species
AGGGCACCACCAGGAGUGGAGCCUGCGGCUUAAUUUGACUCAACACGGGGAAACUCACCCGGCCCGGACACCGUAAGGAUUGACAGAUUGAUAGCUCUUUCAUGAUUCGGUGGUUGGUGGUGCAUGGCCGUUCUUAGUUCGUGGAUCGAUUUGUCUGGUUUAUUCCGAUAACGAGCGAGACUCUAGCCUACUAGAUAGUAACGAGAUUAUCAUUGUCUCAGUUGCUUCUUAGAGGGAUUUUCGGUGUUUAGCCGCACGAGAUUGAGCAAUAACAGGUCUGUGAUGCCCUUAGAUGUCCGGGGCUGCACGCGCGCUACACUGGCGAAAUCAGCGUGCUGUAUCCAUUCUCGAAAGGGAUUGGUAAACCCAUGAAAAUUUGCCGUGCUUGGGAUCGGAAAUUGCAAUUAUUUUCCGUGAACGAGGAAUUCCAAGUAAGUGCGAGUCAUCAACUCGCUCUGAUUACGUCCCUGCCCUUUGUACACACCGCCCGUCGCUGCCCGGGACUGAGCCAUUUCGAGA